rnacentral:lncRNA from 1 species
AAAGUAUUCUGAGGAAAAUUCUAAUUUGGCAUCAAUUUCUUAGAACCCUGGACUGUCAACAACAUGCAGCAAAUCUACAGAUAGAGAGCUACACUUUACUACCAGUGGAUCUGAUGACAGAAAGAAAUCACUGACCAUAUGGUGGCACUCCAAAGAGAAGAAAAUAUCCAAGCCAGUAGCUGCAUCAGGACAGAAGAGUGUCAAAGUGAACUGAGGACAUUAGUACCCCAUGGGCAAAGACAGUUACCAGAAUUGUUUGGAUCACAAUCAGAUGGACGGUUUCCUUCCCUGGCUCCCAGUGCCACUCUUUUUAAAUUGUGAAUAUAAAAUUGGGGCAACCUGGUAAAGCUAAAAGCAUAUGGAAUCAUGCUAGAGAGACGUGGUUGUGAAUCUCUGCUCAUCUAUUAAGUGGAAGCUUUUUCCAUGAAAUGGUCAUAAUAAUCUCUAUUUCAUCGCACUUUUGUGAAGUCUGAAAAAUGUAAUGAAAGUCUGAAUAAAAUGUCAAGUAUGGUUCCUAACUCUUAGUGG